UGGGCGGACGUAGCCAAGUG
rnacentral:tRNA from 2 species